AAACUAGGAUUAGAUACCCUAUUAUAAAUAGAUAAAAAAAAAUGAAAAAACUAAUAGACACUCUACAAAAUUAAUUAAUUUGGCGGCUUUUUAAUCUACUUAGAGGAGCUUGUAAAAUAAUCGACAACCCACGUAAUAUCUCACUUUUAUUAAAAAUUUAUAUACCAUCGUUGGAAGAAAACCUAAAAAAGAAAAUUUUAAUUAAGUUUUCACCUAUUUAUAACUCACCAAUAUAAAUCAACUUCAGAUAAAGGUGUAAUCUUACUAUAAAAGAAAAUUAUGAGCUACAAUUUUUAUUACAUAAAAGUUUAAACUUUUAUUAAAAUUUUAAAACUAUCUAUAAUGGAUUUAAAAGUAAAAUAAUAAUAAAAUGAUUAUUUGAAUAACAAAAUAAAAAGGGUACACAUCGCCCGUCGCUCUUA
rnacentral:rRNA from 1 species